rnacentral:rRNA from 1 species
UACAGAGGUGGCAAGCGUUGUUCGGAAUUACUGGGCGUAAAGGGCGCGUAGGCGGCCUUCUAAGUCGGACGUGAAAUCCCCAGGCUUAACUUGGGAACUGCGUCCGAUACUGGAGGGCUUGAGUGCGGGAGAGGGAUGUGGAAUUCCAGGUGUAGCGGUGAAAUGCGUAGAUAUCGGGAGGAACACCAGUGGCGAAGGCGACUACCUGGCCCAUUCUUGACGCUGAGGCGCGAAAGCUAGGGGAGCGAACGGG